GAUGAACGCUGGCGGCGUGCCUAAUACAUGCAAGUCGAACGAAACUUCUUUAUCACCGAGUGCUUGCACUCACCGAUAAAGAGUUGAGUGGCGAACGGGUGAGUAACACGUGGGCAACCUGCCCAAAAGAGGGGGAUAACACUUGGAAACAGGUGCUAAUACCGCAUAACCAUAGUUACCGCAUGGUAACUAUGUAAAAGGUGGCUAUACUACCGCUUUUGGAUGGGCCCGCGGCGCAUUAGCUAGUUGGUAGGGUAAAGGCUUACCAAGGCAAUGAUGCGUAGCCGAAUUGAGAGGUUGAUCGGCCACAUUGGGACUGAGACACGGCCCAAACUCCGACGGGAGGCAGCAGUAGGGAAUCUUCCACAAUGGGCGAAAGCCUGAUGGAGCAACGCCGCGUGGGUGAAGAAGGUCUUCGGAUCGUAAAACCCUGUUGUUAGAGAAGAAAGUGCGUGAGAGUAACUGUUCACGUUUCGACGGUAUCUAACCAGAAAGCCACGGCUAACUACGUG
rnacentral:rRNA from 1 species